CCCUUAGAUGUUCUGGGCUGCACGCGCGCUACACUGAAGCUAUCAACACGUUUUCCCUCCCUGAGAAGGGCGGGUAACCUUUUGAAUCAGCUUCGUGGUAGGGAUCGGGGCUUGCAAUUGUUCCCCGUGAACCAGGAAUUCCUAGUAGACGCGAGUCAUAAGCUCGCAUCGAUUAAGUCCCUGCCUUUGUACACACCGCCCGUCGCUACUACCGAUUGAACGUUUUAGUGAGGCAUUUGGACCGACGCAUCUCAGUUUAACCGCUGGUUUGUGUUGGAAAGACUUCCAAACUUGAGCGUUUAGAGGAAGUAAAAGUCGUAACA
rnacentral:rRNA from 1 species